rnacentral:rRNA from 1 species
AAUCAACGCUGGCGGCGUGCCUAACACAUGCAAGUCGAACGAGAAGGUGACUUCGGUCACUGGAUAGUGGCGUCCGGGUGAGUAACACGUAGGUAAUCUACCUUCGGGUGGGGAAUAACGUCUCGAAAGAGACGCUAAUACCGCAUAAUGCAGCGGCACCUAAUGGUGAUUAGUUGUUAAAGCGGGGGAGUCUUCGGACCUCGCGCCUGAAGAGGAGCCUGCGGCAGAUUAGCUAGUUGGUGAGGUAAUGGCUCACCAAGGCUUCGAUCUGUAGCUGGUCUGAGAGGACGGCCAGCCACACUGGCACUGACACACGGGCCAGACUCCUACGGGAGGCAGCAGUGGGGAAUUUUGGGCAAUGGGCGAAAGCCUGACCCAGCAACCGCCGCGUGAAGGGAGGAAAUCCUUCGGGAUGUAAACUUCAUAAGUAAGGGAAGAAAGCUGCGGAUCGAAUAAGUCCGCAGUCCGACGGUACCUUACGUAAGCCACGGCUAACUACGUG